rnacentral:rRNA from 1 species
UACGGAGGGUGCAAGCGUUAUCCGGAUUCACUGGGUUUAAAGGGUGCGUAGGUGGUCGGGUAAGUCUGGUGUGAAAUCUCGGAGCUCAACUCCGAAACUGCAUCGGAUACUAUUCGGCUAGAGGGUUGGAGGGGGACUGGAAUUCUCGGUGUAGGCAGUGAAAUGCGUAGAUAUCGAGAGGAACACCAGUGGCGAAGGCGAGUCCCUGGACAACUCCGUGACGCUGAGGCACGAAAGCCUAGGGGAGCAAACAGG